UUGUACUAAAAGUUGCAUAAAUUGUACAAUAAAGUUCGGCCUAUUUUUAGUUUAAUGCCACGUGUAUGUAUUUUAGUUCAAUGCCCUCCAAUUUUCCACGUUUUGACAGACACGUAAUAGCAUCUUACCUUUGUGGGAGACAGCUGGUUUUCACUUACAGUCCCCAAAUUUCUCGAGGCUUCUCUUCCUUAUCCUUCUCUCUCUUUUCUUCCGUCAAAUUAGUCUCCAAGAAGCUUCGUCGAAGAGUUGUUCGCAUUUUCCUUUUUUUCGUCUCUUUAGUUUUCUGAAAAUUUUGAACAAAUCGCACUUGUAGUCGCAAGAAAUUUUUCGAAAACUGAGUACCAAAUUUCAAGUUUCUGUCAGAAUUGUGCCGACCUCUACAACAAGAAUUGUUUCUUUUUCCUCUUGCGUGUUGUGAUAUUCUUUUGCCUUUUCAAGUUCUUUUCAUAUUUUCCAUUCUCUUUGCAGGUUUGCACUUGCAGCUAUGCAAAUUUUGCAGAUUGUUGACAAAGUUUGGUACUUGCGUGGUUCCUAACAACAUUCAAAGGUACUAGGUGAAAUUUGUUCCUUUUUUCUUUGUUUUUUAAUCUUUCAAGACUAACUUAGAAGUGUGCCACUUGAUACCUUUUUCAUAUUUGGUACUUGAUAUCAUGAAAUAGUAUAAAUCUUUUUAUUUUUGGAUAGGGCUCUGUUUUUCACCUAAUAAUAUCUUAAAGUGCUACACUGCAGGAUUAAUUUGAACUUGUAGUUGUUAAAAGAUAUGUAACUAUAUGUGUGAACUUUAGAUUUGAACCUGAAUCUUGAUCAUGCUCCAAAGGUGAGAUUUUUUCAAAAUCUUUUAAGGCUUCGACUUUGACGGAAGAUAUGAGAUCUAUCUUUUGGAGUAAAAUUUGUCAAAUUUGAUUCACGAAAUACUUCCAUCUUUUAAUUGUGGCCUUAUUAGACCCUUCCAGUGAUUAAGUGAUUGAUGAUUGUUUAUCUUUGUGUCUGUUAUUGAUUUAUUAAGUGUACAUUAUUUUGACUGAAUUGAUCUUUCAUUAUAUGAAUCUGUUUUAAUUCAUGAGAUUUAAUUCAUGACAUAGUAUUAGAGAGUAAUGAAUCAUAAGGAUAGCUUUCUUGCAUCCUCCAUAUGCCAAACAAUUGUUGCCAAGGAUUCGUAUACAAAGAGAACAUUCAUGAGUGAAUUGCACAUUCUUUCUCCAAUUAUGAAUCAAUAAAGGUCAUUAAGCACGUAUGUCGAGGGUUAACCUAUUGACCAGAAACUAUUUGAUAGCAUAAGUUUCUUUGUACUCAUACGAGACAAUAUUAACGAAGACAAUAAGCUAGAGUAGGAUUCCAUUCUUGAAUUUAUCACAUUUUAACAUAUGUAUGUUCUCUAAUAUGUUCCAAGAUCUUAUAGUUACCAGAAGCUGCAUAAAUGCAAAAUUUACCAUUUGCAACCUUCUACUCUUUUGUUUCGAGAUUUAGCUUCUCCAUAACUUCUGCACCUUUUACUCUUUAGUAAAUAUUUUAAGUCUUCCCUUAUCCGUCAUCUAUUUUUUUUCUUUUUUCCGAUGCCUAAGGAUGAUAGAACCAAACCCAGCAAGUUGACUUCCUUCUUGGGUUAUAAGGUUGGGAUGAAUCACAUUGCAAGAGGAUUUGAAAAAUCUGUAUCAAGUAAAAUCACUCUUUCAUCUAUAGCAUUUCAGUUCAGUAUUCACAUUUUCAACAUACAUAUAAUCAUUUAGACUCUGACUUCAGCAAAUUGUACGAAAUAUUAUCUAACUUAUACAAAAGAAGGCUAAAGGAGGAUGGGAGUAAAAGGACGAACACUGCAUCUUCUAAUUGUACUAAAGGUAGUACUAAUUGUACAGUAAAUUUGGCCCUUUUCCAGUGAUGAAUAAACACGUGUCUCAUUUUGCUUCACUUUCUGUACAAGUUUUGCACUAUCAUCUCACAAUUCUCUAUAGAUUUCUCUCUCCUCCUCUGCUAAGCUUGGUCUAUUUUCUCAACUCUUCUUUGUAGAUCUCAACUCUUCAAUGGCGAAUCCAUGUGUUGCUGAGUGUCUUCUCUUUGUGUAGACACUUUAAAUCUCUCUGU
rnacentral:lncRNA from 1 species